AUAUAAUCACUCUUUGGUUCCCCACAGCUGGGCGCAAGGUGCGCCGUGGAUGCAGCCCUGAGCCACGCGAUAGCCCCCUCGAGACCACCUGGGGUAGGAACACGAGGCUCGGGCUGGGGCGCACCUAUUCCCUGCUUCCAGAUGAGCCCUCUCCAGGCUUUAUCUCCUUCCCAUUUUGGCCUCCUUUACCUCCUCCCCCUCCCCGCCCUCUCCCUUUAGGCUAUCGAGGGGCUUUUCCUUGACCUUCGGCUUCCUGAAUCCCGCCUGGAGCCCUGGAGCUCCAAAAGGACAGACCCAAGCCUCAGAGACCCCUGGGCUCCUCUUCCUCUCCUGACCCCAGCCAAGGAAGGGAUGGAGAUGGGAAAGAGUUGCCUGGCGGCAGGCUAGCAGCUGGCCAAGGGGUGGCUGGGGAAUCAGACCUAACCCUCGGGCAGCUCGCGGGCUCCAGGAGACCAGUCCCUUCUGUGGGUCGCCCCCUGGAGCGGUGCUCGGGCUCCCUGGCCUCAGGGACCCCGGGCCCAGAGGGUCUGGGACCCCAGUGAUUCACCGAGGCCUCCCAGCUGGGACGCUCUGCACCCCACUUUCAGGGAUCACGGGUGCCCACCAGGGAAGGGGAGCCCGCGCUGUGGGCUACGUCUGAGCCGUCAGGUCCUCGCUGGGUCUGCGGGCGCCCUGGGGCGAGGGAGCGGGGAGCCCUACCCCGAGCAGGCACUCUCCCCAGAUUCAUUUUGGAAACCAAGGCCCCCGCGCUCGGCAAGUGAGCCUGGCUGCCGGAUGGGAAAACUUCCAGCAAGACAGGAUCACGUGCCCAGGAUCCCACAGUGAUUCCGAUGUGGAGCCAGCCCUGGAAGCCUCUCCGUGGCUUAAGGACCCCCGCUGCUUUCUGGCCCCAAGCUUAGAGUGCCUUGAGUGGCCACCUACCAGCCCCCAGACCCUGGUUCUUCCUCUCUUCCACCCGUGGGAAUAGACCCGUGGACUCAGGACCUCCCAGGCAGUGUCUGAGCCGUGGAAGCAGAGGGUUCCUCGUCCGCCCGUCCACACCCCACAUGUGCCACUUUCCAAGGCGCUGGACCUGCGGGUGGAAUGGGAGCUCCUGGGAGCAAAGCCUGGGGCUCAAUCAAGCAUCCUCCCUACAUCCCCAGCAUCCAUCCCGGAUGGUGUGUGCCACACAGCAGCCCAGAGAGUCUGGCUGGGGGCAGCGCCUCUGCGUGCCUGCCUCCCUGGCAGCCCGGGUGGGUCUGGGUGUCCCAACUCUAGCCCCACCUCGAGAAGCGUGUGGAACUGAGGUGUGGCCAAUCAGAGUCCAGAAUUCCCCAGAGCCACGGUGAUUGGCUGGAUUUGGACGUGUGAAGGCCCACCUCAACCAAUCAGAGCCCUCCUCUGGGUAGGGCUGUCAGCAGAUAGGUGACCUGAGGAGGGAGGCGGGUCCUUCCCGACUCUUUGAGAACCCCAAUGCAGGCACGUGGCGCACACGCGAGCCACCCAACUGGGGUGAGCAAGUGCAUUCUCUUGUGGGCUUAAGCCACAGUCAGUUGGUCCCAAGCCUGUCCGGUGCUCCUGGUGCCCAUGCGCUGUGUUUACAGCCUGUCUGCGCCCUCCAGCAGCCCCAACAUGGGCCUCCCUUGGACCUCAGUUUCUGUAAAAACAGAUGUACCUUAUUAGCUAAUAAAGAACAUCAUGGUUUUAUAACUCUAUC
rnacentral:lncRNA from 10 species